rnacentral:rRNA from 1 species
UUAGUACAGAGUUUGAUCAUGGCUAGAGGACGCUGGCAGGCCUAACACAUGCAAGUCGAGCGGAGGAACCUUCGGGAUGCCGGCGAGCGGCGGACGGGUGAGUAAUGCCUAGGAAUCUGCCUGGUAGUGGGGGACAAAAAGGUAGGGGACUCGAGCUAAUACCGCAUACGUCCUACGGGAGAGAGCGGGGGAUCUUCGGACCUCGCGCUACCAGAUGAGCCUAGGUCGGAUUAGCUAGUUGGUGAGGUAAAGGCUCACCAAGGCGACGAUCCGUAGCUGGUCUGAGAGGAUGAUCAGCCACACUGGAACUGAGACACGGUCCAGACUCCUACGGGAGGCAGCAGUGGGGAAUAUUGGACAAUGGGCGAAAGCCUGAUCCAGCCAUGCCGCGUGUGUGAAGAAGGUCUUCGGAUUGUAAAGCACUUUAAGUUGGGAGGAAGGACAGUAAGUUAAUACCUUGCUGUUUUUGACGUUACCGACAGAAUAAAGCACCGGCUAACUUUCGUGCCCAGCAGCCCGCGGUAAUACGAAGGGUGCAAGCGUUAAUCGGAAAUUACUGGGCCGUAAAGCGCGCGUAGGUGGUUUGAAUAAGUUUGGAUGUGAAAGCCCCGGGGCCUCACCCUGGGGAAAUUGGCUUCCAAAACUGUCUUGACUUAGAAGUAUGGGCAGAGGGUGGUGGGAAUUUCCCUGUGUAACGGGUGAAACGGCGUAAAAUAUAAGGAAGGGACCCCCAGUUGGCCGAGGGGGAACCGCCUGGGG